GGCCUCGUAGCUCAGCUGGUAGAGCAUGCGCGUAGAAACCGUAGGUGGUACACAUGCAUGGGUUCGAAUCCCACCGAGGCAA
rnacentral:tRNA from 1 species